UACGUAGGGUGCGAGCGUUAAUCGGAAUUACUGGGCGUAAAGCGUGCGUAGUCGGUUAUUUAAGUCGGAUGUGAAAUCCCCGGGCUCAACCUGGGAAUUGCAUUCGAUACUGGAUAGCUAGAGUUCGGCAGAGGGAAGUGGAAUUUCUGGUGUAGCGGUGAAAUGCGUAGAUAUCAGAAGGAACAUCAGUGGCGAAAGCGACUUCCUGGACCAGAACUGACGAUCAGGCACGAAAGCGUGGGGAGCAAGCAGG
rnacentral:rRNA from 1 species